CUAAAGGAACAGCUCUCAAUGUCCAGACGGAUCCAAAAUCUAUGGAAAUGUCCAGAAAUUGUAUAGCAUGCACAUUAAGUGAGCAUAUCGAUACUGUCAAGGACUAAGAUUAAGAGAGGUCGACAUGAUGCAGGAUGGCAUAGCUGGAAGUUCAGCAACCCUGAGUAAAAUGAGUCAAAAGCUUAGAUUGAUCUAUAAAGAUGCUUUAAAGAGGUAUAGAAAGAAGACUGGACAGAGCAAAGAACAGAGUUCAUUGUUAUAGAUGAAAGCGACUUCCACCAUAAAAGGAAGUAUGGACGUGGAAGAGUAGGUGAAACAUGGAAAAGGAAAAAGUGGGUGUUCGGCAUGCUUGCCAUAAAGGCUCAAAGACGACGACCGAUUUUGCGACUCGUAGAACGGCGUUCAAGACAUCAUCUCAUUCCCAUCAUCAGAAGACAUGUUUGCCCACGAUCCACAAUUAUAAGUGAUCAAUGGAGACCCUAUAGGGCUUUGACAAGGCUGGGCUACUCUCACUACUCUGUGAAUCACGUACAAAAUUCAGAUCUGGAGAUUGAGAGGCAACAAGACCGAGAAGCUCUUGAAGGAACACUUGGCUUGUAUUGAGUGGUUUUAUUGGAUGGGGAUGGAGCACAGAUAUGGUCCUCUGGGGCGUUUGAUGAAGGACAUUAGAAAGUAUUACUGCAUUUAAGGAAUUACAUCAUAUAUUGUAAUUCAAACAUUACAACGCUCAGUAAAGUUGUUUGAGGAUAUAAAACUAAUAAAAAAAAGUG